CCUCUAUUAUAUAGAAGGUGAAGCCUGCCCAAUGGUAUAAAAAUAAUUAUAAUCUAGUUUAAAUAUUAUUUAAUGGAUGCAGUAACUCUGACUGUAAUAAAGUAGCAUAAUUAGUUGUCAUUUAAUUGAUGGAGAGAAUGAAUGGUUACACGAAUAUUUCACUGUCUUAAAAAAAAUUUUUUAAAAUUGAAAUAAUAGUUAAGAUGCUAUUUAAAAUUGUAAGACGAAGAGACCCUAUAGAGCUUUACUAUAAAUUUUCUUUUUUCUAAAAAUAUAAAAAUUAUUUGAUUUAGAGAAUUUGGUAGUUUAGUUGGGGCGACUGUUUUUUAAAAAUAACAAAAAUAAGCAAUAUAAUAAUAUUAUUUAUUGUAUAAUUAAACAAUUUAACAAUUACUAUAGUAGGCUAUAAUGACCCGUUAUAAUAACAAAAAAUAAAUAACGAUUAAUUGAUAAAAGCUACCUUAGGGAUAACAGGAUAAUUUUGUUUUAGAGUCCAUAUCAAAAACAAAGUUUGUCACCUCUAUGUUGAAUUAAGAUAUCCUAAUAAUGCAGUAGUUAUUAAGGGUAGGUCUGUUCGACCUUUAAAAU
rnacentral:rRNA from 1 species